CAGUAGUCUUAUACUGCUGGGUUUUGUUAUUUUAGUUUGCUGUCUUUGUUUACAGAGUAAAAAAAAAAAAAAGGUAUUUUUGAAGUUAACUAACCAAAUAAGUAAUCAAAACUUUUGAGAAUACUUUAGAUGUGAUUUUUUUUCAUUUUAUGUGUUAUUAAAUGUGCUUUUAAACUUAAUUUAGGAGUGUUCAGUGUGAAGUUUGUCUGAGCUGGGAGGAGAUGCCGACCUGAAGUCUGUGUGUGUCGUCCGGCCUCACUCCUCCUUCCUCCUCUUUUGUUAUUUUUCUCCAGAAGUGGCGUUUUCCUUGGCGGAGCGCCAGUCAUCACAAGAAUGGCAUGAAUUUGGAGACAUGUCAUCCAUGCGCUAGACACGCGUGCCGCUCCGCCUGUGGCGGUUUGAUUCCGUUUACGAGCACUUUCAGCUUCUUUCACUUUCUCUACCUCACAAUACCUGCCUUUCUGCCUGGCUGGUGGACUGACGUUUUGGCUCCAUUUCUGACAUUUGUUGUUUUUUUUUUUGCUAUUUCCUGUCCCGCUCACCACACCUGUCCAAGCUACUAAUCACAACUUCUGACAUGAGCCACCGUAUAAUUUAAAAUCCACUCCUCUUUUUCUGUUUCAUUCUCUCUCUUUGCCCUGAGUCAUCUCAUUCAUCACCUUCUAUUCAACUCUCCUCUCCGCCAACUCCUCCUCUUCCUGCCUAAUGCCUCAAUCUGAACCCGACUCACUUUUUUUUUAUUACUUUAAGGCUCCCUGUGAAUGACAGAAAGGCCUCUUGUAGCCGGAUUGCUCUUUGCUCGUGUGUGGGUGUAUUUUUCUAACCUGCCUGGUUAAUUGGACGUUGAGAAUUACAUUCUUAGAAUUGCAAAAUGAUGAGCCGACUUUCCAAGACGUGAUAAUGACUGCAACAAAAGCGCACAGAAAUGCGAUUUGUCCCCACAAAGGUCAAGAAUAACAAGCCUGUUGACUGACCUUGCCACUUGUUUGCUGUUUGUACAAGGAAGUGCGUUAAGGUGAAUCACAGGAAACUUGGAUUUCACAAGACGCUGAACCUGAUUGGAGAAUUAAGUCAGCGGAGUUUGAAAACUGGAACACAGGAAUGUUCCAGGCUGGCGGCGCCUCUGGGGGCCUCAGGUUGCUUUAACCCUGCAAUUUCCAGACUUGAGUCUGUACCUGCCUCCAGCCAUUUCUCAUAGAGGGACUUAAAGCGACGACUUGUUUCUUUUACGGGUUUGAUCCAUUUUCAAGUUGAUUUCAGGUGUAAAUCUGAAUGGAUGUCAGAGUUACACCUUGUCCACCACCCACCGAGUCCACCAACUGUCUCCCCUCAACGGCUGGAUGAUCCCCUGUCGACACGUCAAGAGUUAUUAUGGUGGUUUCAGGUCAGAGAGGAAUGUUGUUGUACUCCACAACAGAUGGUUUUCUGAAUCCAGACUUAACCACCCACACAGAUGAGAGGAAAACAGUUUCAGUGCAUUCAUUGAAUCGAUUUAUUAUUAGUUCACUUUUUAGUUUAAUUCCACUUGAAACAAACUGAAUCGAAUUGAAUCAAAUC